rnacentral:rRNA from 1 species
GACGAACGCUGGCGGCGUGCUUAACACAUGCAAGUCGAACGGAAAGGCCCUUCGGGGUACUCGAGUGGCGAACGGGUGAGUAACACGUGGGUGAUCUGCCCUGCACUUUGGGAUAAGCCUGGGAAACUGGGUCUAAUACCGAAUAGGACCACGCGCUUCAGGGUGUGUGGUGGAAAGCUUUUGCGGUGUGGGAUGGGCCCGCGGCCUAUCAGCUUGUUGGUGGGGUAAUGGCCUACCAAGGCGACGACGGGUAGCCGGCCUGAGAGGGUGACCGGCCACACUGGGACUGAGAUACGGCGCAGACUCCUACGGGAGGCAGCAGUGGGGAAUAUUGCACAAUGGGCGCGAGCCUGAUGCAGCGACGCCGCGUGAGGGAUGACGGCCUUCGGGUUGUAAACCUCUUUCAAUAGGGACGAAGCGCAAGUGACGGUACCUAUAGAAGAAGCACCGGCCAACUACGUG